rnacentral:rRNA from 1 species
AGACGAGUGGCGAACUGGUGAGUAACACGUGGGUAACCUGCCCUUGAAGUAGAGGAUAACACUUGGAAACAGGUGCUAAUACUGCAUAACAACGAAAACCGCCUGGUUUUCGUUUGAAAGAUGGCUUCGGCUAUCGCUUUAGGAUGGACCCGCGGCGUAUUAGCUAGUUGGUGAGGUAACGGCUCACCAAGGCAAUGAUACGUAGCCGACCUGAGAGGGUAAUCGGCCACAUUGGGACUGAGACACGGCCCAAACUCCUACGGGAGGCAGCAGUAGGGAAUCUUCCACAAUGGACGAAAGUCUGAUGGAGCAACGCCGCGUGAGUGAUGAAGGGUUUCGGCUCGUAAAACUCUGUUGUUGGAGAAGAACGGGUGUCAGAGUAACUGUUGACAUCGUGACGGUAUCCAACCAGAAAGCCACGGCUAACUACGUGCCAGCAGCCGCGGUAAUACGUAGGUGGCAAGCGUUGUCCGGAUUUAUUGGGCGUAAAGCGAGCGCAGGCGGUUUUUUAGGUCUGAUGUGAAAGCCUUCGGCUUAACCGGAGAAGUGCAUCGGAAACCGGGAGACUUGAGUGCAGAAGAGGACAGUGGAACUCCAUGUGUAGCGGUGAAAUGCGUAGAUAUAUGGAAGAACACCAGUGGCGAAGGCGGCUGUCUGGUCUGCAACUGACGCUGAG